ensembl:snoRNA
AUCUCUAAAAAAUAGCCAGAUGUUGAUUGGGUUUUCAUGUGCAUGCGUGAGAUGUGCCUCCCACAACUCUUGUGACGGUGUUGGCACGUUACCUGUCUGACA